rnacentral:rRNA from 1 species
UACGUAGGGACCGAGCGUUGUCCGGAAUCAUUGGGCGUAAAGAGCGUGUAGGCGGCCACUUAAGUCCUGCGUGAAAUCUUGCGGCUCAACCGCAAGCGGUCGUGGGAAACUGGGUGGCUAGAGUGCGGGAGAGAAGAGUGGAAUUCCUGGUGUAGCGGUGGAAUGCGCAGAUAUCAGGAAGAACACCCGUGGCGAAGGCGGCUCUCUGGAACGCAACUGACGCUGAGACGCGAAAGCAUGGGGAUCAAACAGG